UGGUGGAGUGAUUUGUCUUGAACGAACGAGACCUCGACUUACUAAAUAGUAUCGGGAACACACGUUCCUAGAAACUUCUUAGAGGGACUUUGCCUGUCUAGGGCAAGGAGGUUCGAGGCAAUAACA
rnacentral:rRNA from 1 species